CAACCUGCCUAUAACUAGGGAAUAACCUUGCGAAAGUAAGACUAAUACCCUAUGAUUUCCUUUGAUGACAUCAGAUUAGGAAUAAAGAUUUAUCGGUUAUAGAUGGGGAUGCGUCUGAUUAGCUUGUUGGCGGGGUAACGGCCCACCAAGGCAACGAUCAGUAGGGGUUCUGAGAGGAAGGUCCCCCACAUUGGAACUGAGACACGGUCCAAACUCCUACGGGAGGCAGCAGUGAGGAAUAUUGGUCAAUGGGCGAAAGCCUGAACCAGCCAAGUAGCGUGCAGGAUGACGGCCCUAUGGGUUGUAAACUGCUUUUAUACAGGAAUAAAGUUAGCCACGUGUGGUUAUUUGUAGGUACUGUAUGAAUAAGGACCGGCUAAUUCCGUGCCAGCAGCCGCGGUAAUACGGAAGGUCCAGGCGUUAUCCGGAUUUAUUGGGUUUAAAGGGAGCGUAGGCCGUCUGUUAAGCGUGUUGUGAAAUGUAGAUGCUCAACAUUUGAAUUGCAGCGCGAACUGGCAGACUUGAGUGUGCGCAACGUAGGCGGAAUUCGUGGUGUAGCGGUGAAAUGCUUAGAUAUCACGAAGAACUCCGAUUG
rnacentral:rRNA from 1 species